UUGAAUAUGUAACAGUAAGGUGUCGGAACAAUUAAGAAUGAUUGGUUCCGGUGAAAAGGGAAACAGGUGCAAAUCCUGUGCGAACUCGUCACCGUAAUUAAGGAGCAGAAGCCGAGAUAUCACUGGGAAACUGGGAAGAUGGCUGAUGUGAUGAUCUAUAAGCCGGGAGACCUGCCUUAUUGUUGUACAGAAA
rnacentral:ncRNA from 1 species